rnacentral:misc_RNA from 1 species
UGAUUUCGGCGUUGAUGAUCUUGAUCUCACUUUGGCGGUAGGGACUGCUGGGUCGAACUGAAGGUGUUUAGAUUAUCAUGUCUGAAACCCUGAGAUUUUAGCUCAAUCUCUUUGGGUUACAUCUGAUGAACAAGAUGAAUGCUUACAUAUUCUUUCAAUUGCUGUUUGGAAUUUAGUUGGAAUUUAGUUGGGUUUGUAAAUUUUCGAGCAACUGGUUUGGAGAUAUCGACGAG